UAUUAAGUGGCCGAAAGUAAGCACUAGAUUUUUAAUCUAGAUAAUGAUUAUCUUAUUAAUCCUUAAUAG
rnacentral:tRNA from 1 species